GAGACACGGCCCAAACUCCUACGGGAGGCAGCAGUGGGGAAUAUUGCACAAUGGGGGAAACCCUGAUGCAGCGACGCCGCGUGAGCGAAGAAGUAUCUCGGUAUGUAAAGCUCUAUCAGCAGGGAAGAAAAAUGACGGUACCUGACUAAGAAGCCCCGGCUAACUACGUGCCAGCAGCCGCGGUAAUACGUAGGGGGCAAGCGUUAUCCGGAUUUACUGGGUGUAAAGGGAGCGUAGACGGCUGUGCAAGUCUGGAGUGAAAGGCGGGGGCCCAACCCCCGGACUGCUCUGGAAACUGUAUGGCUGGAGUGCAGGAGAGGUAAGCGGAAUUCCUAGUGUAGCGGUGAAAUGCGUAGAUAUUAGGAGGAACACCAGUGGCGAAGGCGGCUUACUGGACUGUAACUGACGUUGAGGCUCGAAAGCGUGGGGAGCAAACAGGAUUAGAUACCCUGGUAGUCCACGCCGUAAA
rnacentral:rRNA from 1 species